rnacentral:rRNA from 1 species
GCACAAGCGGUGGAUGAUGUGGUUUAAUUCGAUGCAACGCGAAAACCUUACCCACCUUUGACAUGGCAGGAAUCCUAAAGAGAUUUGGGAGUGCUCGAAAGGGAACCUGCACACAGGUGCUGCAUGGCUGUCGUCAGCUCGUGUCGUGAGAUGUUGGGUUAAGUCCCGCAACGAGCGCAACCCUUGCCAUUAGUUGCUACGAAAGGGCACUCUAAUGGGACUGCCGGUGACAAACCGGAGGAAGGUGGGGAUGACGUCAAGUCCUCAUGGCCCUUAUAGGUGGGGCUACACACGUCAUACAAUGGCCGGUACAGAGGGUAGCCAACCCGCGAGGGGGAGCCAAUCCCACAAAGCCGGUCGUAGUCCGGAUCGCAGUCUGCAACUCGACUGCGUGAAGUCGGAAUCGCUAGUAAUCGUGGAUCAGAAUGUCACGGUGAAUACGUUCCCGGGUCUU